UACGGGGGGGGCAAGCGUUGUUCGGAAUUACUGGGCGUAAAGGGCUCGUAGGCGGCCAACUAAGUCAGACGUGAAAUCCCUCGGCUUAACCGGGGAACUGCGUCUGAUACUGGAUGGCUUGAAUCCGGGAGAGGGAUGCGGAAUUCCAGGUGUAGCGGUGAAAUGCGCAGAUAUCAGGAAGAACACCCGUGGCGAAGGCGGCUCUCUGGGACGGUACUGACGCUGAGACGCGAAAGCGUGGGGAGCGAACAGG
rnacentral:rRNA from 1 species